rnacentral:rRNA from 1 species
AUUGAACGCUGGCGGCAGGCCUAACACAUGCAAGUCGAACGAGUGGCGGACGGGUGAGUAAUGUUUGGGAAACUGCCUGAUGGAGGGGGAUAACUACUGGAAACUGUAGCUAAUACCGCAUACCAUCGGAUGUGCCCAGAUGGGAUUAGCUAGUUGGUGGGGUAACGGCUCACCUAGGCGACGAUCCCUAGCUGGUCUGAGAGGAUGACCAGCCACACUGGAACUGAGACACGGUCCAGACGCCUACGGGAGGCAGCAGUGGGGAAUAUUGCGCAAUGGGCGCAAGCCUGAUGCAGCCAUGCCGAGUGAAUGAAGAAGGCCUUCGGGUUGUAAAGUACUUUCGGCAGGGAGGCGUUACCCACAGAAGAAGCACCGGCUAACUCCGUGCCAGCAGCCGCGGUAAUAC